UUCCAACAGUCAGUCUGGAGUUGAAAGUGAAGCUUGGAAGGUGAAGAUCUGAUCUCUCCUGGACUCUCCUGGACAGCUUGCAAGCAGCCUCUUUGAAUACCAUCAAACAAGGGCGAGAGGAAAUUCUCCAUACCCUCUGGUGGACAGAGUGGAAAUUUGGAGGAGCCUCUCUUUCCUGGGACAUCUGAGGAUUCAGUUGGAUUCCUGUACCUGGCCCACCAAGGACUCUCUUUAUGUACAGAUCAAAAGCAGACUGACAAGGAUAACUGUGCUGAGCUCUGUCUCCAUCAGUCUUAGGCCCUGUAGAGGAGCAAGUUCAGAAGAGUGCUCAGACUCAAGGAACAGUGAGGCAGGUAUAAGUUCCUAUCUCAAGCCCAGUCUAAAUCCAGCAAAUGAUUAAAAAAGAUCGCAAGCAACAUUUGGAAAAUAUAUUUUUUGGAAACUGCCUACAAGUGGAUCCCUUGUCUUCCAUAUAAGGUAAAGUUUUAAAAGAGAUUAGGGUGAGGGGAGAGCCACACCUUUUCAGUCACACCUUUUCUAGCUCUCUUCUCUGCUGAAGAGACAAUAUAAUUAUUUCUUUCUUUAUUUUUUUUUAGUUGCAGGGAUUUGUACCUGACAGUGUCAUAGUCUACGGAAGACAUUGCUACUACAUAAACCAUCCAAUAAAUAAAAUAAAAUUGUUCCUUUAAUCCACAUGAGGAUCAUUUAAGGAAUUAAGGGUCUUUUGCACAGAAAACACUUUGUUGGAAGGGUGAACUGUGUUUAAGAAUUUGAGGGACUGUUGUAUAGAAAAGUGGUUUGAUUUGUUCCAUUUAUUCAUAGAGGAUAGAACCUGAAGCACUAUGUGAAUGUUGCAAAGAGGCAAAUUUAGGAUUGAAUUUAAGAAAAAUUAAAGAUCUUUGAAAAUAUAAUGUGCAAAUAAUGUUUGUAAAUAACCAAAUAAAAUAAUGUUUAAAAAGUAAAAAAAUAAAAAAUAAAACCGACUCGUGAUUCCAAAAAAAAAAAAAGAAAAUAUAAUGUGCUUCCUCAGUAGAUGGUAUGAUCAUCCUAUCUAGUCUUGCAUGAGGGGGAAAAAAAAAACAAAGAAAAAGAGAACUCAUAGUUGAUGCCUAGACAUUGAAUAAAAGAGUUCCUUUAAUAGUCAUUUUAGGAUAUACAUUUCCCCUUGUUUUAUAUAUUUGAUAUUUGAUAAUUCUGAAGUUAAUGUUAAAAUAACAUUGUUUUACAAGCAAAACAUUUUUAAUGAAGACCAAAAAUUUUGGUGAUCUAUGAUGAAGUAUAUGGAUGAUCCUAAUAGUAAACUUAAUACUAAAUUUCUAGAUAAAAACUAAGAGACAUAGUUAAUCUGACAGCAAGUAGCCUCUAGUGAUGAAAAGAUUUCAAUUGCCUAGAAUAAUAGACCAAAUCAAAAUAAGUUAAAAUGCAAUAGAUUUAUGUAUAAAGUUCUACACUUGGGCUUAUAAUAAGUUUGUCAAAUGUAUAAUGGAAUAAAUAAACAAAUAAACCACUUAAGCCAUCCAAAAAUGGUGUAUUAGUGAAUGGCAGGCUCAGGAAUAACCAAUAAUGUGACAGAGCAUUAAAAAAUCUUUCUCUUAAGAUUCAGAUAGUGUUUCAAAUAAUGGAAGUGACUUUAUAAUGGCUAGUUGUGAAUGAAACAUGUUAAGAAGGAUGAUAACAAAAUAGAAUAUAUCCUUAGAAGGAUAAUUAGGAUUAGAAGACUGGAAAUCAUUCCAUAAGAUAAAUGACUAAAGGAAUUGAGAGUACUUAAAACCAAGAAUAAAAGAUUUGAGUACAGUAUAGCUGUCUUCAAAGAUCUGAAGAAUUAUGUGGAGGAAGGAUUAAAAGUGACUUUGAGUUCAAAGGAGCAAAAAUAGAAUC